ACUUUAAAGCUUUUUAAGCAUUUCACUUACACUGAAAAGAUAGAAAUAGUUUAAUUUAAUCUUUUUUAAUAAAAAUAAUUA
rnacentral:tRNA from 1 species